GGCCGUGUAGGCUAAUGGAUAAGGCGUCUGACUUCUGAUCCGAAAAUUGCGGGUUCAAGUCCCGUCCUGGUCA
rnacentral:tRNA from 1 species